CGACAAAAAGCCAUAAAUGAUAACAAAAAUCACCAGAUCCAAGCAAACACAUGAGCCUCAGAUACUUAACAAGUUACCACCCUGCUAAACAACGAAGACGGUUCUUGAAUGGAAGAAGUAAAAUCAACUCUAAUGCCAACCAGAAGAACCAAAGAAUCAAAGAAAGAUGGAGGAAGCUGUCACAGUCAAGUACCAAACGAAAGCCAGGAGAUCCGAGCAUCAAUGGUAGAAGUCAAAAGCAUCGGAUGAAGGAUCCUAUUUCCAUUGAUGACUAUGGCAGAACUGUAUGAUGUGACACCAUAUGGACCACGAACCACAAGCAUGCUGUACAUGGUCCUUCCCAGAAAACGUUUGCUGGCCCUGAAUUAGACCAUGGAGAAAUACCAAGAUGCAGUUUUUCUAAACUCAAAGUUGGAGGAAAGUACAUACACUGAGCUGAGGAACACCUGGAAGUAUCAUCUUUAAAGGCACUGGUCAGGGGAAGCUUGGCUGAGGAGAAACAGAGAUGUGUCUGAUACAUUGAGAGCAAGAAUGAGGAAGUUCCUGGAACAGUCAUCACAAAGACAACCAAGAGUGACCUGGUGCCCCGAAGCUGAUGCAGGAAAGGCUGCAGCACAUUACUGAGUCGGGUGUUGUCUACUCAGAAGCAUUCCGUAUUCCAACGCGGCAGUUAGAAACUCUUUGAAGUCUGUCUUAGCCGUCUGUUCGUCUUUUAAAUUGUCAAUAAUAUUAACACAACAAUCAACACACA
rnacentral:lncRNA from 1 species